UUGGUACUCCCUCCGUCCUAAAUUACUUGUCGCAGAAAUGGAUGUAUCUAGAUGUAUUUAUAGUUCUAGAUACAUCCAUUUCUGUGACAAGUAAUUUGGGACGGAGAGAGUAUUUA
rnacentral:pre_miRNA from 1 species